rnacentral:rRNA from 1 species
GACAUAGGUGGCGAACGUUAUCCGGAAUUAUUGGGCGUAAAGGAUGCGUAGAUGGUAGAAUAAGUUACUGGUCGAUGCCAAACUCAAUUUGACGGAAGCUAGUAAUACUGUUCUGCUUGAGGGCAGGAGAGGUUGAUGGAAUUCUGUGUGGAGCGGUGAAAUGCGUUGAUCUACAGAGGAACACCAAAAAAGGCGAAGGCAGUCAACUAGUCUGUUCCUGACAUCGAGGCAUGAAAGCGUGGGGAGCAAACCGG